AAAAAAUUUGUUCUUCUCUAUUAUUCUUCUCAUCUCUCGCUCUCCCAUAAGGGCUAUUCUUCUUCUUAUAGAAAUAGAUUGAGAUUUUGAUUUAAAGCAAAAAUCGAAUGUGUUUGGAGCUACAUCUCGCCGCGGAUCUGGAUAGGGUGUUGUUAUUUCUCGUUUAUGGAUGGCGGAUUUGGAGGUAGAUCCAGCAGCGGUGGACCUUGCUAGGAACCAAUAGGAAUUGAAUCGCUUCAUCUCGGCGAAGAAGCGACGACGACGACGACGUUACCUCUUGAUAAUGUGACGACGGGCAACUCGUGACGACGGGCAACUUCUGACGACGAGGACGACGUUACCUCUUGAUAACGCCGGUGGUUUUUUCACGGCUUUGUUUAAAGGGGAUCUAUUUCACGGGCAACUCGUGACGACGAAGAGUUUCACGGAUCUUCAAGUGGUGGUUCUUUUGAGCAGAGAGUUGAGAAGAAGAAAUGCCUCUCUCGGUUUGCAAAUCCACCGGCGAUAUGCUUUCAGGAACUGAUUCCAUUUAUAAAUUGGGUGAGAAGCACUUUCAGCAUCCCGGUUCUCGGUCUUCUACUCUUUGCUUGGGUGGCCUUGUUUCCAAUCAUUCUUCUUCCAUAUUGUCCUUUUAUGUGGCUGGCUGGCCUUACAUUUUGUUAUGGAGAGGGGUUUGUAUUAUUUUUAUCAGCAGCAUCAAUAGGUGUUACUCUUCCUUGCUCACUCUCUGGCUUGAAAACUUAUUAAACUAUAGAUGAUCAACUUGGCCCUUUUCUUCCUGGUCUUUUGUGCAGGAAUUGCUGAAGCUUUCCCAAAAAGGGCAGCCAUACUUAGAGCUGCAGGUGAAGGAACAUGGUUUCAUCAGUUUCAAGUAGUCACACUAAUCCGUGUCUCUCCAUUCCCUGUCUCAUGUCUCUGUGUUUAAGGUGGGGUUAAUUCUUGCUACUUGGUUCUGGAGCUUGGGAAAACGUUUUUCUGAUGGUGAGAUCUAUGUUCAGCUGCAAGAGGGUGUAAUGUGAUGUGAUUUGAGUUUGUCACAAAGCAAUAGGAACCAUGAUUAAGUAUGCUUGUGCUCACUUUGUAUGCUUGUGCUCACUUUGUAUGCUUGUUACACAUUGUAUGUUUUGGAUCUUUAAGGGAAAAGUAUUGGUUAUUGGUAUUUA